rnacentral:rRNA from 1 species
UGGGGAAUAUUGGACAAUGGGCGAAAGCCUGAUCCAGCCAUGCCGCGUGUGUGAAGAAGGUCUUCGGAUUGUAAAGCACUUUAAGUUGGGAGGAAGGGUUGUAGAUUAAUACUCUGCAAUUUUGACGUUACCGACAGAAUAAGCACCGGCUAACUCUGUGCCAGCAGCCGCGGUAAUACAGAGGGUGCAAGCGUUAAUCGGAAUUACUGGGCGUAAAGCGCGCGUAGGUGGUUAGUUAAGUUGGAUGUGAAAUCCCCGGGCUCAACCUGGGAACUGCAUUCAAAACUGACUGACUAGAGUAUGGUAGAGGUGGUGGAAUUCCUGUGUAGCGGUGAAAUGCGUAGAUAUAGGAAGGAACACCAGUGGCGAAGGCGACCACCUGGACUGAUACUGACACUGAGGUGCGAAAGCGUGGGGAGCAAACAGGAUUAGAUACCCCCGUAGUCCCUGAGCGGGCUGGCAAGGCGCAU